rnacentral:rRNA from 1 species
GACGAAGGAUGCAAGCGUUAUCCGGAUUCAUUGGGUUUAAAGGGAGCGUAGGUGGUCUUAUAAGUCAGUGGUGAAAUCUCUGGGCUUAACCCAGAAAUUGCCAUUGAUACUGUAGGACUUGAGUAUAGUUGCCGUUGGCGGAAUAUGACAUGUAGUGGUGAAAUACAUAGAGAUGUCAUAGAACACCGAUUGCGAAGGCAGCUAACGAAACUAUAACUGACACUGAGGCUCGGAAGUGUGGGGAUCAAACAGG